rnacentral:misc_RNA from 1 species
GACGGAGGGUGCUAGCGUUGUUCGGAAUCACUGGGCGUAAAGGGCGCGUAGGCGGCCGGUCAAGUCGGAUGUGAAAGCCCGGGGCUCAACCUCGGAGGUGCAUCCGAGACUGCUCGGCUCGAGGCCGGAAGAGGAGGGUGGAAUACCCAGUGUAGAGGUGAAAUUCGUAGAUAUUGGGUGGAACACCGGUGGCGAAAGCGGCUCUCUGGUCCGGUACUGACGCUGAGGCGCGAAAGCGUGGGGAGCAAACAGG